rnacentral:rRNA from 1 species
UACGUAGGGUGCGAGCGUUAAUCGGAAUUACUGGGCGUAAAGUGUGCGCAGGCGGCCGCGCAAGUCGAGUGUGAAAGCCCCCGAGCUUAACUUGGGAAUUGCGCUCGAAACUACGUGGCUGGAGUGUGGCAGAGGAAGGUGGAAUUCCACGUGUAGCGGUGAAAUGCGUAGAGAUGUGGAGGAACACCAAUGGCGAAGGCAGCCUUCUGGGCCAACACUGACGCUCGAUGCACGAAAGCGUGGGGAGCAAACAGG